rnacentral:rRNA from 1 species
UACAGAGGUGGCAAGUGUUGUUCGGAAUUACUGGGCGUAAAGGGCUCGUAGGCGGCCACCUAAGUCGGAUGUGAAAUCCCCAGGCUUAACCUGGGAACUGCAUCCGAUACUGGAUGGCUUGAAUCCGGGAGAGGGAUGCAGAAUUCCAGGUGUAGCGGUGAAAUGCGUAGAUAUCUGGAGGAACACCGGUGGCGAAGGCGGCAUCCUGGACCGAUACUGACGCUGAGGAGCGAAAGCCAGGGGAGCAAACGGG